rnacentral:rRNA from 1 species
UACGUAGGCAGCGAGCGUUGUUCGGAGUUACUGGGCGUAAAGAGUGCGUAGGCGGUUUUCUAAGUUUGGUGUGAAAUCUCCCGGCUUAACUGGGAGGGUGCGCCGAAAACUGGAAGGCUUGAGUAUGGGAGAGGUAAGCGGAAUUCCUGGUGUAGCGGUGAAAUGCGUAGAUAUCAGGAGGAACACCUGCGGUGUAGACGGCUUACUGGACCAUAACUGCGCUGAGGCACGAAAGCGUGGGUAGCAAACAGG